AUUGAACGCUGGCGGCAGGCUUAACACAUGCAAGUCGAGCGGAGAUGAGGUGCUUGCACCUUAUCUUAGCGGCGGACGGGUGAGUAAUGCUUAGGAAUCUGCCUAUUAGUGGGGGACGACAUUCCGAAAGGAAUGCUAAUACCGCAUACGCCCUACGGGGGAAAGCAGGGGAUCUUCGGACCUUGUGCUAAUAGAUGAGCCUAAGUCGGAUUAGCUAGUUGGUGGGGUAAAGGCCUACCAAGGCGACGAUCUGUAGCGGGUCUGAGGGGAUGAUCCGCCACACUGGGACUGAGACACGGCCCAGACUCCUACGGGAGGCAGCAGCGGGGAAUAUUGGACAAUGGGCGGAAGCCUGAUCCAGCCAUGCCGCGUGUGUGAAGAAGGCCUUUUGGUUGUAAAGCACUUUAAGCGAGGAGGAGGCUACCUGGAUUAAUACUCUAGGAUAGUGGACGUUACUCGCAGAAUAAGCACCGGCUAACUCUGUGCCAGCCGCCGCGGUAAUAC
rnacentral:rRNA from 1 species